rnacentral:rRNA from 1 species
UACAGAGGGUGCGAGCGUUAAUCGGAAUUACUGGGCGUAAAGCGCGCGUAGGCGGCUUUGCAAGUCGGGUGUGAAAUCCCCAGGCUUAACCUGGGAACUGCAUUCGAGACUGCAUUGCUAGAGUAUGGGAGAGGGAAGUGGAAUUUCAGGUGUAGCGGUGAAAUGCGUAGAUAUCUGAAGGAACAUCAGUGGCGAAAGCGGAUCUCUGGGCCUUACCUGACGCUCAGGUGCGAAAGCUAGGGGAGCGAACAGG